rnacentral:rRNA from 1 species
AACGCGCACGAACCUUACCAACCCUUCGACAUCCUUGGACCGCCGGAGAGAUCCGCUUUCUCGUAAGAGACCAAGUGACAGGUGCUGCAUGGCUGUCGUCAGCUCGUGUCGUGAGAUGUUCGGUUAAGUCCGGCAACGAGCGCAACCCACAUCCCUAGUUGCCAGCAGGUUAAGCUGGGCACUCUAUGGAAACUGCCCGUGAUAAGCGGGAGGAAGGUGUGGAUGACGUCAAGUCCUCAUGGCCCUUACGGGUUGGGCUACACACGUGCUACAAUGGCAGUGACAAUGGGUUAAUCCCAAAAAGCUGUCUCAGUUCGGAUUGGGGUCUGCAACUCGACCCCAUGAAGUCGGAAUCGCUAGUAAUCGCGUAACAGCAUGACGCGGUGAAUACGUUCCCGGGCCUU